rnacentral:tRNA from 1 species
AAAUCCGUCGAUUUAGAAAUCGUGAGGGUUCAAGUCCCUCUAUCCCCA